rnacentral:lncRNA from 1 species
UGACCCCCUGCAGGGAACCACCUAGGGUGCAGGUAUAAUUUUGUGAUGAAUGAUAAAAAAUUGCCCAAUAUAAAUGUCGAGCCAUAGAAAUAUUUUUAUUACCAUGGUUCUACCCUGUCAGUUUGAUUGCAAUGUCAAAACUUGUUAUUUACACUAUAAAACAACACAUACCUAUUCUGAGAAGGGGAGGGGCAACAAAAACUCAUAUAGUUUUUUUCCAUUCCUAUCCAAUUCAAAUCAUGCUGGCCACAAAAACAAUUUCCCGAUUGCGAUACAAUAAAUUGCCAAAUGCCUGACAAUUUGGGCUAGUGACGCCCCUGAAUGCUACAAUGAUAGCAACCUCUAUUGCUAUUAUAUCUCCAACCUUGAAUGUCCUAUUUAGUACAGUAGUUAAUUAAUUAAUGGCAGUAAUCAACAUGAAGUCAAGUACAUUUCCGGCCAUUGAUGAGAAAUAUUGUCCAGAAGUACAGUGAAAUAACAAAAUAGGGUGCACUAAAGAGCAUUGUGGCUUAAUGAUCUAAUGAGAUAAUUAACCAAAGAUAGGUAUAUAAACAUGCAGAUGGACUGGUUAACCCAUUCAAAUACCAAGUCCAAUACUUUCCCCUUGACGAGAAAAAAUUCUGGCGUUAAACAGCUUAAAAUAACAAAGUAGGGCAAACUGAGGCACAUUGCAGCUUAACUUGCUCCAACUCUAUCAUUACAAACUGUAAAUAGGGGCUUCGGUGGCCAAGUGGUUAGCGCACUUGCCUUUCACCUCUGAGGCUGCAGGUUCGAGUCUCACUAAGUACCUUCUCAGUGCGACCCGAACCCAGUCCCCAUGCGAAAAGAGUAAAAAGUCAACGCUCUGCCGAAAGCCGUGGGUUUUCCCCGGGUACUCCGGUUUCCUCCCACAGGGAAAGUUGACAGGGUGGGUUAGGUAAAAAGGGCCCACAGUAAUUGGCAUAUGCUGUUGUGGUGACCCUGCCCUAGUUGGCCAAGCUAAAUAAAUAAAAAAAAAAAUUAAAAAAAUCUUUAAUAGUAAUUCCUAUCCAGAUACAAAAUUUGGUUAUAAUUCAAUAAUUUGAAAAGUGCUGUUGCAUCCCUAACUUACUAAACUGCUGGCAAAUAUUAAAACAUAUAAGGAAAGCUAUAAGGGCAGUUAAAAAAUAUAACAAGGAUUUGGUUUAUAAACUGUUAAUUUCUAGAGAUGAUAACACAAUAUAAACAUG